GAUGAACGCUGGCGGCGUGCCUAAUACAUGCAAGUCGAGCGAAUGGAUUAAGAGCUUGCUCUUAUGAAGUUAGCGGCGGACGGGUGAGUAACACGUGGGUAACCUGCCCAUAAGACUGGGAUAGCUCCGGGAAACCGGGGCUAAUACCGGAUAACAUUUUGAACCGCAUGGUUCGAAAUUGAAAGGCGGCUUCGGCUGUCACUUAUGGAUGGACCCGCGUCGCAUUAGCUAGUUGGUGAGGUAACGGCUCACCAAGGCAACGAUGCGUAGCCGAACUGAGAGGGUGAUCGGCCACACUGGGACUGAGACACGGCCCAGACUCCUACGGGAGGCAGCAGUAGGGAAUCUUCCGCAAUGGACGAAAGUCUGACGGAGCAACGCCGCGUGAGUGAUGAAGGCUUUCGGGUCGUAAAACUCUGUUGUUAGGGAAGAACAAGUGCUAGUUGAAUAAGCUGACACCUUGACGGUACCUAACCAGAAAGCCACGGCUAACUACGUGCCAGCCGCCGCCGUAA
rnacentral:rRNA from 1 species